AGAGUUUGAUCAUGGCUCAGGACGAACGCUGGCGGCGCGCCUAACACAUGCAAGUCGAACGGAGAAAAGAGGAGCUUGCUUUUCUUUUCUUAGUGGCGGACGGGUGAGUAACACGUGAGCAACCUGCCUUUCAGAGGGGGAUAACGUUUGGAAACGAACGCUAAUACCGCAUGAUAUCCCUGGGGGACAUCCCCUGGGGAUCAAAGGAGCAAUCCGCUGAAAGAUGGGCUCGCGUCCGAUUAGAUAGUUGGCGGGGUAACCGG
rnacentral:rRNA from 1 species